rnacentral:tRNA from 1 species
CGCGCGUUCGGCUAUGGGUUAGGCCGCUGCGCUUUCACCGCAGCAGAGCGGGUUCGAGUCCCGCACGCGCGAC